CUCAAAUGAUUUCAUGCUGACAAUUCAUUUGUGGUUUUAUUUUUAUAAUGAGAAAUCUAUUGUUUGGAGAUCGAGGAUUUAGAUAUUUCUCUUACCUACCCUUCAAUGCAUGUUUCUUUGCUUUUUCAAAAUGUUAGAUGGGAUUAAAAAGAAUUGGGGAUGAAGGGUUUUCUGAACUUUUGAUCCUCAGAUUCUCCUAUCCUCGGUAUUCUUCGAACUCCAUGAAUGUUGGUAGCAAGCAUUUCUUGUUCAUUAUGUGGUAGCCCAACUUGCUAUAGUUUUGUAGCAUGCCAAGAUUUAAAUUUUAAUACCUAUCUUCAGAUUUUUGUUUUAAGAUUUGUAUGAAGAGGCUAUGAUGACUUUGGAUUAAAUUUUAUUGAUUCAAUUAUUUUAAAUGACAGUAAUUGAUAAGUGAUAUAUUUUUACAUUUAUUGAAGAUAUUUUUGAUAAUUUAUGGUGCUAACAUCUUCUUAAAAACUUAAUUUCAUGAACAAAUUAAAUUUUUUUACAAAAAUAAAUAAUUUUAAAAAAAAUAAAAUUAAAAAAUAUUUAUGAAAAAUAGAUAUUAAUUCAAUUGAGCAAUUUAAGCAUUAAAAUGAUGAAAAAUUUUUGAAAAAAUUAAUACAUAUUUUUUUAUUUUUUAGAUAAAAAUUGGAGCAAAAAUGGAGCCAAAAUAUCCUAAAAAAUAAUUUUUAUAGCCUCCGAUGCACGGUGGACCGACCGAUCGGUCCAUGGAACUUCACGCAGUCCACAGGCACAGCUCACAGCGAGAGAAAAAUUCUGGGCGCGAUCCAACAGCUGAUAUUCAUUCUGAUCUAGAUCCGACGGUCAGUAUCCAUUAUCGAUUUAUAAGAGGGAUUUUUAUGCAAUCUGAUGGUCCAAAAGUGAUCCAUCAAGUGAUCAGACGGCUGAGGACAUUUCCAAUCUUGAAUAGGAGAUCUUUACAUGAUCCGAUGGUCAGAACUUCAUCAGAACCCAGAUCGAAUGGCUGAGAAUGAAUCUGACUGAGAGAAGAAUUAAAACUGUGGAUUUUGAUCAGAUCUAGGUGGUCUAAGCUUGAUCCGAUGGUCAGAAAUAUUCUUAAGAAGAUUAAUAUGAUUUCUAAGGAUUUUAGGACUCCUUUUUCUAUCAAAAAAAUAUGAAAAAUUCAUCUAUAAAUAGGAGGUCCAGGAAUAAGCUUUGAGAGUAGAAAAAAAUUAGUAGAAAGUGAGAAAAAAUAAAAAAAAUAAAAUAACUUUAGAGAUCUAAGAAAAAGAAGGAGAGAAGCCAGUUCGCUCUACGAAGUAUGAUGGA
rnacentral:lncRNA from 1 species